rnacentral:antisense_RNA from 1 species
GAAGUAGCACGUCAUCUCCUGCCCUGAGAC